UCAAAAAAGAAAGGUGGAUUUAUCACCAACACUGCAGAACAAAAUUAUAAUCUGAUGCUUGAGCGGAUGAAUGAGACUGAGUUGGAUGGGAACAUGGAUGAAACAGCUAAUGCAGUGUUCAAGGAGGUUUUAGGAUAUCGACCAGGUUAUGCAACGGGUCUAGGCCACUCUGUUAUACCUGAACCAUCUCCUUCAUUGCUGAACAAUAGGAAUUAUCAACGCGUUGUUGAGGAGAACGAGAAGAACAAGAAUGAAGCAAAUUUGUACAAGAACCAGUUAGAAGCACUGAGAUCUGAUUUACUGGAAUUCAAGAACCAAUUUAAAGACUAUGAGAAAGUGAUGAACACUCGGAUGUCUCGUUAUGAGUCUCGGAGGGAGUCUCAGCACGAGACUCCAAUUGAUGCCUAGUCAUCGCUAGUUUUCCAAAAUCAUCCCUGCUUUUGAAAUGUUUUUUGAACUGCUGUUGAGGGUUGAUCAGACAGUAGAUGGGGAUGAUUGUGGUGAGUUCCAACUUUUGUUGAGCAACUUAGGAUGUGGCUUGGAUUUUCAGUGAUAGGGAAGUCAUCUUCUACAUCCUUUGCAUAUUGACAGCAUUGUUUGACUCAAUUAGCAAAGGACUGAAAGGGACUACUGCUAGAGACAAAGGAUUGCUGCAUGCCCGAGACACUUCCAGAAAUGUUCAAAUACUUGCUUUUUGUGCCAAGACCACACCUGCUAUUGUCCACUAACUUAUCAAAGUAUAAGUCAGUCUCUCUUGAAUCUAGAUGUAUAAACUGCUUUCGAAAGUUGCCUAACUGUUGGAAAUUUCUGUUUUAGGAUGAUAUUUAUAUGGCUGAUAGAUCAGCUCUAUAUGGUUUAUGUGGAUCAUGUUUAAUGAUAGCAGAUGUAAUAUAUAAAAUGUGUGUAUCUGGAAGUACUUAAUGCAGAAAUUUG